UCUCUGAGGAGUUGCUCCCAGUGGCCUGCUGGGGAGGACAGAGCCGGGGCUCAGAAGCCAGGCUGGGGUCACUGGAGGACUGUGAAAGAUGACCUGUGUGAAGCACAGAGCCCAGAACCAGUGACAAAGUAGCCCCUCGACAAACAUCACCUCCUAUGCCUCCUUCCAUCACAACCUCGGUGAGAAAACCCAGCAUUUGCAGCAUCAACACCAGGGCUUCAGGCUUCCUCGAAAGGAGAGGCACCAGGAUUCCCAAAGUAAAACCUUUCCCGAAGGAAAUCUCUAACUCGACCUCCAGCUUUGGCUCUGGGGUUUGGAUGUCCCCAGGGGAGGGAAAAUGCCUCCUUGCCUCCCAGGUAGGUGCUGAGGUGAGCGAGCGUCAGGACCCAGAGGGUGGCAUGUGUCGUGGCACCAGCCCCGUCUUGAGCUGCAUGCCUCCUGCACAGCCAGCUCUCAGAGGAGGAAGCACGGUCGUGGGGCAGGGACAGGGGCUUCCAUCUCCACGUUUGAGUCUCCAAGACUGGCAAGUCCAGGGGCCCCGGGAAGAGGGGGGCUGGGAGGGACCAGGGGUCUCUGGCACCCCUCCCCCAUCUAGCAGAUGAGGAAACUGACUCAGCAGCAGUGAGUGCCCUCCUUGGGGGGAUGGGGUGGGUUUCUGCAGAAUGAGGGUGGAAGGGGCAGAAUCCCAUCCUGGAGGAUGCUGCUGCCACACUUAUCACAAGCAGCGUGGGGCCGUCGACAGCCAGCCAGCUUGGGGACAAGACACUUGGGUCCUGACUCCGACUCUGCCACACUCAGGGUGAUUCUCAACAAGUCCUGACCCUCCCUGGGGUCCAGCUGCUCCUCUAUGACGAGAGGGUUGGACUAAGCAGAGGGCCUUUACACUCUCUUUUGAGCUCCACAGUGAGGGGACUGGACCAGCCUUGGAAUUGUGACAAAUGACACUUAACCCCUCAGCAGGGGGGAUGGAGCAGCUGCCCUCAUGAACCAUGAGGCUUGGACAGUGAGCCCCUCAGAUGGCAUUAUGCCUGAGUCCCAGAAAAUCAGGAAGUAGCAGCAGAAGGCAACCAGCACACAGAAACACACAUGUGGACUUCCCUGGCGGCGCAGUGGAUGGAGUACACCUGCCA